AGGGAGAGCAGGGCAGCUGGGGCUGGAGGAGCCCUGGGGCCCAGUACCCACACCUGUGCCCAGCGCCGUCAGGGGGGACCGGGGCACGAGGCUCCUUUGCCCAGGAAGGGAAGCGAGAGACACACGGACAUCGGGAACGGACGGAGGAAGGAUGUGCAGUUGCAGCCUUUUCAGCAGACGCCCUGAGAACGGGAGGUCAAGAGUUGGAGCAGACGACAGGGCCUCAGACCUAAGGCAGGAGCACCCCCUAUGCCAGACCUCCUGGGUCACAGGAUAUGCACGGACAUUGGGAAGGGAUGGAGGAUGGACGGAGGAAGGACGUGCAGUUGCAGCUCUUUCUGCAGAUGCCCUGAGAGAGGAGCAAGAAGGUCCUCGCCAGAUGCUCCUGGACUUGCUUUGGACUUUCCCUUGCUCUUGGACUUGCUCUGGCACCUGUGCUCUUGGACUUCACAGCCUCUAGAACUGUGAGAAAUAAAUUUCCGUUCAGUAUAAAUUU
rnacentral:lncRNA from 1 species